GUUUCUUCAUCUAAGGCUUUGACUUCCUCUAUAAGCUUUGCCAGCUCCUCAGGGGAAAGCAAAGAGAUGACUGACUGCCCCAACACACCGGAUGCUUGAGGUGACACACGUGAUAAGCUGGAUUGCAGUUUUUUACUGGAAACACUGUCACGGUUGGGAAGACUUUGAUCUGCCUGUGAUUUUAGAUCUGAAUUUGCUUUCCUCAAUCCUUUCAGGCUUUGGCGGAACCAGAAAGCAAUUGAGCAUCUUCAUGUUGGACAUGGUGGAGCUGAAUGGCAGCAAAGUUCUGUUUGUGCAGCUGCACAGCUGAAGACUUCUGUGAGUUUACCCUCUUUGCUCUGGACAGUCACUGAUGUCAGAUCCCAUCCUGUGUGUUUGGAUUUAAGGAGAAUGCUGCAUUUUCUGAGCUGAAAGAGCUGUUUUCCUUGGUUAUGCAUGUACUGGAGCUCAGUGACUGACACAAGAGGGGUGACUGACAGCUGGAAGCAGAAUGAGGUGUGCUGAAGCUUGUCCUGACUCAAAGUGAAACUAGCAGGUGUUGAAGAGUGAAAAACUGGCCGAAAUUAUGGCUUCUGCAUAUGCAAGAGUCUCAAUUUUGACAUGAAAACCAGAUUAUCUACUCAUCAUGGGACUGGGAACGGGAUUAAGAGAUGAACAGAUUGUCUGCCUUUAAUGAGGAGUGUCUGAAUUUUACGAAGCCUUUUUUGUUCCUGAAGAAUUUUUCUGGUAUGAUCAUGACAUUACAGGUCAGAUUCUGCAUACAUGGAGCAUCCAUUGAAACACAGGGUUUUCAAUAAGGUGAUGUGCUUUUGUAAAACACAAGAGAUGUAAGAGACAUUAAAGGUAGGAAAUUACUUUGCCAUUUGGCUGAGUAUUUCUGAGAUGUCAGCUCCUUGUGGAUUGGGGCUAUUGGGAAAGAAUAAUGGUAUUUAAAACUCUGUGUUUAAAAAAGUAAUUUUCUUUCUUUUUCCUGUAGUCAGAAUUCAAGUUUAGACUUGCCAGCUUCUCUUUUUAGGAGUCCCGACUCUUGUGAAAUGCUCCCUUGAAAGAUACACAUAUCUUCUCACAGACACCUGUCAGACACACACAUAACUUUGCACAGCUGUUCUCCACGCUUCAUUUUAUUGAUUUUCAUAGGCCUUUUCAGACUGUCCCCAACUCAUCUCUGUUAAAAGCUGACUUCUGCCUUUUUUACAGCUUAUUCACAGUAUAUAGCUACUGUGUUCAUCAUGUUUAUAAAUAUCCUCCUAAUUAAUUGUCCAAAAGUGUUGUGUGUCUGCUGAGUUUCACAGGACAUCACAGAGAGCAGUGGGUUUGGCUCUGAGGUUUUUCAUUGCAGUACUAUGAAAGUCUUUUGGGGAAGAGAUUGUAUUCUGUACAAUGGGACACGUGCCAGGCUGGAAAUUCUGGGUUGUAUUGGGACAUCCAUGUGAAACAUCACCAAAUCAAAACUGAUAUGAAGAUUUUUCCAAGAACUCUCUUCAGGACUCUGAGGAAACUUUUAUCUGCAUUGUAAGUUCCACUCAAAGCAAAAGUUGUAUUUAAACUGAGUCUGCUUGGCUGAAAGAUAAAAAUUAAAGGACUUUAAGAGCCUUCUUGAAUUUUACACAGAGAGUCAGGGACUACAGGAAGAAAGGGUGCAGAAGUUUCUAGAACCAAGUAGAGCCAUGCAGCCAGGCCAUGUGAAAAUUGCUGAUUUUGUGAGAAGCAAACUGUAAAGGAGAUCUGCUUGUUUAAACAUAGGCCAGCUGGCAGUCCACCAUACCAGACCAAGCUCACCUCCUCUCAGAAAGUGUCUGAACAAGUCACACCAGUAACCCUAGGCCUCUAGACACUGCAAGGAAUAGUCAGUAUAUGUGAACAGUGGGUCACAGAAGCCAAAAGAACUGAAAGACCGUUCAUCUGCUCUCACUGCUGACAAAAUAUUAGAGAAGGAAAAACAAACCUCUGUUAUGUAGUCCUGCAACACUGAUUUGCUAAUCAUUUAUUGUUUAUGGUGAAUCCCAUGCAGUCAGUAGAGUAUGGCUCAAAGAGGCACUUAAAGUUUUCAACAGAAAAAAAGGAAUUUGCUUUUUGAAUACUGAUGUUACAGGUUCCUCCUUACUCUGGAGAAGAAAUGCACAGGGAACAUUUAAUUAUGCAUCACUUUUAGGCAUUUUUCUCUCCUUCCUUGUGACAGCAAUAUUAAGUUGUUCCUUUUUGUGGGAGUAAUUAACACCUUCAGAGUCACGCUUAGGGCUGGAGGUGCUGGAAAGUAGAAUAGUGGAAUAUCCUCAAGAGCACCACAGAAAGAAUGGAAUCAAUUUUCUUGAACAAAGACAAGGAUUCUUCAGCUCUGAGUCACACAUCAUGAAUUUCUGAAGUGUCACAUUUAGAUGGAGGAGAGAGAAUUAGACUGGGACAUGAAAAAAUGCCUGUUUGACUUCUUAAAGAGAGAAGGCUUAAGCUUUGUAAGACAUAUGGUCCAGAAGAUUAUUCUGACAGGCUUGUGCCAUAUGGAAGGUAGUGAUCACUGCCUCAUACUCUAGGGGAAAAGCCUCAACAGUACAGGACAGGUUGGUGUGGCUGUCACCAAUGUUCAUCCUACGUAGCAAGCCAAGAUAAGACUUUAGAAUCACUCAUUGAUCCAUGACUCUGAAAGUUCUCAUUUGCUGCAGCUUUGGACUGGAGGAUGCUGGUGAUCGCACGUGGAGGAUUGGGUGGGCUGUCCUCUGCCUCUGAUGUGCAUGGCAGCUGAGUUCUGGGACAGCAGUCAAAAUCCUCUUGACCCCAGCUGGUAGAGUUCUCAAAGGGAUCAGGGCAUUUCUCGUCGGGACUUGACCCAUCAUCGCUGGUUUUGGCAUUGCAGAAGCCUAACUGAUACCAAUGUUGUAAUUCUAGAGAAGAUACCAAUUAAAAUGAUAGCCUCUCUUAUGAAUGAGGGGUUUGGAGUGAUUGAGAGCUGCCCAGCAGCACAGCCACGCUGCCUUCCCGUGACACAGAGCACACAAAUAUGUGAAUGAAUAGAAGUACCGAAAAGGUGAAUAUACUUAUUCCACCUAAGAACCAGAGGCAGAAUUUGCUCCAUAUUUUACACUCUGGUCCAGGCAUCACUUGCUCCAACAAUCUGAUCUCAGGCUCACCAGAGUCAGGGGCUUGUCAUCCCUUAGCACUUCACAGGCUUUUACAUACAUCAAGAGAAAGAAGAGAAAUAUUUUACAGCAAACCAGAAGUGUCCUAAAUUAAGGAAAAAAAAAAAGAAGGAAGAAAGAAAACACACAGCGCUCAUUUAACCCAAACAGAAAUUACAUUCAGGCCUAUUGCUCAAAAGAAGCUUAUCUACAGUCUGUAUGUCCCUUAUCUCACCUUGAAAAUGGAUGCAUGUGCCAAAAAGCAUCAAGGAAGAACAGGAUCCUUACUACUGAAUAAAGCAUUAAAUGACCACUCCAUGUCCAAUUCUGGCAUCCACUCAUUUUAGCACAGAUGGCAACAAGAUUGUUGCAAUGUGAUGUCUUUGCGGUCUGUGUAUGUACUGGCAUGAGGCAGAAUUCAGAGCACGGGAACAUGAAGCCAGAUGCAUUUGAAUCACAAAUAUGGUUACAUAGAAGUUCAUCAUUAAGGGACUCGUUUGGAUUUGAACAUCUCAGGCUCUUUUACAGACACGGCAGGAAUUGUGCUGUUUAGAAAUUGUGCUGCCAUCGUGUGGACAAUAUUAAAACGUGCAAAAACCGGCUUUAAAAAAAAAUUGGGAAAUGGAUUAUCUGCACAAGAAAGGAAAUCUUCUCAUUUUGGAGUUUCACAGAAUAUUCUGAGUUGGAAGGGACCCACAAGGAUCAUCAACUCCAAUACCUAAAUUUCCUUUAUUCAGUCAUUCUGGCUAACAGCCCCCUUGGUCUGCACACUUGACCUCAGGAGGUCCUGUUGGCAAAGGAGAGAGCAGAUAUGUUAUCCAGCACCCACGAUCUCGCGUAUAAAGUGGAUUUAGCGAGCCGGGGCGCAGCCCGGAGCGGGGGAGGCGGCGGUGCCCGGGGACGGCGGUGCCCAGGGACGGCGGUACCUGCUGAGCGAUCUCGUCCUCCAGCCAGUUCCCGAUGCGGACCCCCAGGCGGUAGGAAGCCAUGGCCGGGCCGGGCCGCGUCCCGCGUCGCCAUAGCGACCGCGCCGCGCUGCGAUUGGCCAGUCCGCGUAGGGAGGGGCUGCGAUUGGCCAGCCCGGGGAGGGCUGGACGGCGAUUGGCCAGCCUGGGAAGGGCAGCACCACUCAGUGUUCAGUUCUGGACUGUGUAUCAUGUACGUCUACCCUUAGGCAAUUUAAAAUUCUUCUUUUCCAAGCUGUGGAGUAUUUCUGCAAGGUGUCUGACCAGAACAAUGAGACUGGCCAUGUCAUCGGCUAAGAAAUAGUCUCAGGUGACAUCUCUUAAGAACUGCUUGUUUGGGACCUGCUUGAAGAGACUUGUGAUGUUCACCCACUUCCAAGCUUGGAUCCUACCACCUCAUAUAGCAAGAUGUUAUACAACAUGAAGAAACAAUGCCUUGCAACAAGUGCUUGAAGUGAAUUAAUAAUCUGGAUUUCAAGGAGCAGUCCCCACUGAUGUUGAUGUAAAUGCAGCCAUGUCUGGAGCUCUGGACAUGAGGUGCUAUGAAGAAGAAGUUCUCCUCCUUCAGUGGCAGAACAGGGAGCUCUGGGUUGCUGGUUAUUGUGAAACUACACCAUGAAAUACAGUCCUGAUUUAUCUGAGAAGCAACACCCAUCCUAGAGGACAUCAGCUGCUCUGACUGUCAUCUCCACUCCUGCUUAAAUUGGGAACAGAAAAUGCCACCUCUCACAGAAAUGAUGGAAAGUCAGUGACCAGUACUUCAAGUCUUACACAUCUUCAUUAUUGAAAAGGUAACAAAUUACUCCCACAAUGCUGUAUUGUUGCACUCAGUCCUGCACAAAGGCUUCUUUAGAGUCAUUGUGCCAGUGUGUUUUUCAUGACAGAAAGUGAAUAUGUUGGAAAGCUGUCAGUCAGGGGACCUGAAUUCAUCUCUGCCCUCAGUUUGGAUUCAAACUGUGUGCCAGAGACAAGGAGUAUUUUGCUGAUUGCAGGUUAUGCAAGCAAGAUUAUGCCUUCGUUACCUUUUAACAGUCAAUGUCAUUUUGUAAUUUGACAAAAAAUUGGAGUAUUUAGUCAUGUGCUACUUCCAAUAAUGUCUUAGAGCACCUCCUGGAAAGUCUUGGCAAAAUAACCACUGCUCUGAAACAAUUUUUGAGUUCAAAUAGAUGGGAACUUGCCCAGAAUUACUUGAAACAGUAUUAACCACUGACGUUUUCCCAAAUCAAGUGUCUCCUUCCUUUCCUACCAGCAUAUUCAGCUCUCCACAGCUUCUCAGCACUAUUAACUGGCUGGUUACACUCUGAGCAUAGAUAUAUUGCAGCCAUGGUCUGGUUUUGGAAAAUAGAAUUCAAAGCAGCGCAUGCAAAGAGGAAGCGAUGUAGAGAAAACAGGACAGAAUUUACUUUUGUUUCAUAAUCCAAUUGCUUUGGAUACACUGAAUCAAUGGGGCUAUUCCAGCUCUGAGAAUAAGGCCUGCUCAUGUGACUACGUGCUUGGAAUCCCAAACUCUGCCAAUUCCGGCUGGCAUAACUAAAGAGAUCCCUGCCUCCAGCUCUCUGCCUGUUCUCCUAGAUGCUGUCAGGCCAGUGGGAGGGGUGGCAGCUGGGCAGUGUUCUUGCCCUGAGACACCCAGUUUGGGAUAGCAGAACAAGCAGCCAUAAAAUUCAGUUUUUACUGUCCUGUGAGCAGCAGUUGCUGAAGGCUCCAAUUCACAGUUCUUUAUGGAUUUUGACUUCAGCAGCUGAAAAGGUCACUAUCCUGCUAGCACUCAUUACUCCAGCAAAAAUUGUAAUAGGAGCCUCCAAACUAAUCACAGGGGGUUAAACCCUGUUCUUCAGAGCUGUCACCAGUAUGGAUCUGUCAAAAUCAUUGCUUGCAUGCAAGGUCAGGGAAGUCAACUAGCCAAUGUGUAUUUGUAUGCAUGUAUACACAUGCUUUUAAAAACACUUCUGCCUGUUAACUACGAUCUCCUGGUGAGCAUUUGAUUCCUCUAUGGUUCUAAAAUGAAGCUGGUUUUGUCAGCAGUUUGUCAAAUCAUAUACUGUGAGAUUUUCCCACCAAGAGGGGAGUAGUAGCAGAGCCGCACUGUGGGAAAAGUGAUUUAUUGCACACAUGUUAUAAGGGAAGUUGCUCUGAAGAAUAUUUAUAUUUAUGAUUUAAAUGAGAUCAUCUGGGGAUUUUUUCAAGAAAGGAGUAAGAAAAAUUUAAAUGGAUGCAGCUCUGUGUUAGUGUGAGCAGUGGCCAUGACUUUUUGUGGGAAUAAGUGUAAAAACCUCUAAACUCUUGCUCUGAUUUUGAAAAAUAAUGUAAGAGUUAUUUUGGGAGUAUAGCCUCCAAAUUCCUACCCUUUGGGUGUAAAGCAGGCAAAUGUCUGGAUUUUCAGAAUAAAAAAUGCUGCCAGUAGAUAAAUGUUUGGAAUUAUUUUGACUGCAGCCAGCAAAUAUAUCUCAUCACUAUGGUUGCAAAAACAAACACCCACCAAAGAACUGUAUCUGACACAGGGAAAAUAAUUAAGGGAAAUGGAACAAUUUGCAGCUUGUAUUAAAUUCUUUGCGUUCCCUCACACAAGUCAGUAGUUAGAGGGGUGAACUAUGACCUUGAUGUGAAUAUUCUGUUUGAGUUCUUGCCAUUCUGACAGUAGCAAAUAGGGCAAACACUACUUUAAAAUAGAAAGGAACUUGAGAUGUAGCCUCCUACUCUGAACCAUUUUCCAUCCCACAUUUUUGAUAAUCGAUGUGAAUUCAAAAGUGUGGUUUUGCUUUUGAGCCCAAACUUAAAAUAAUUUGGUUUUUUUACCUCUGGUUUGGAUGUAGUUAAAGACAACAGAACUUCCCAGAAGCACCUUACUGUUAGGAGUUCUGCCAGUUCAAGUUCAAUGGGAUCAGUCCAUAGUUAAGCAAGCAAUGCAGUUCUGUACCACUAACAAAAAUAAUUUCCUAUAAAAUAUAUUGAUAUGUUUUCAUCCCCAGGUAUUUUAAUUUUUAAAAAACAGCAGUGAAAGGAAGAAAACAAAGGAUUGUAUAUCCAUGAUUAGAUAGCCAUAAAGGAAUAUCAAAUUCAGAGAUUUUGGUACUUGGGGCACAGCUCACAUUGGAAUGGCUGAUGCCCUUCUGCACUGAUUGUUGUGCAGCUGCUAAACCAUCAGCAUUUAGAACCAGCCUGAACAUGAAAUUUAUGCUGUGUUUUUAUGAGCAGGUUGUAAGUAGCCAUGAAGCAUUGUCUCUUCCAGGACCUAAGGUGACACUUUUUAGUAGGGCAUUCUUGGAGAGAGGAGGAGCCAGAGGAACACUCCAGGUACAGUAGAAUUAAGUAAUACCAUGAUCCACUUCCAAAAUCUUUUUGCAUCACCUUACUUAAAAGUAAACUUCCAUUUUAAAUUGCAGUUCAUGGAUACCUGCAAACCUUACAGCAAGUGAUUUCAAGCUAGAAAAGGAGGGAUAAAGUUCUAUCUUACCUCUUUUUAAGUAUUUUACACAGGAAAAUAUACUGAAAUUAAGAAUUUUUAAUUAGUUUAUGUAAUUUACCUAUAAAUUUUAGAAAAGUCAGUCAUCAAUCCAUUCACCUUCCCCCCUCCCCAGACAGCAGUAGGGUGACAUCAUAUAAAGAGAAUGAACACAAUGCUGGAAGUGUCCUGCUGGUUUGUAUUAGCCUCCCUGAUCAGGCACAUCCUGUGUAGCACCAGUUCAGCUUUACCAGUUUGAAAAUAGUAGUGAUAGUAGAAGAUAGUCUGUGUGAACAAAGAGUGAACCAAGAGUUCACCAUGUGGAGAAGCUUCCCAGUACCCAGCAAACAGAGAGCAAAGCUGCUGGGAACUUUUCAAAGGUGACUGCACAGUCAUUCCUCUUCAGACACAGCACACUUUCUGUACAAAUUUAACAUGUCCUCCUCCUUCAAAAUACUAACACAGGAAUGAGGAGGAGGAGAGAUAAAAGAGGUUAAAAUUAUUAUUAGUCUUUCUAAGUGACGCCCUUCAUCCUGUCAGAUGCCAAAAUGCUUUCUGAAACAGAUGGAGCAACUAACCUGGAAACUAAGGAGAAAGUGAGUCUGUGGGCGAGGAAAGGAAAAAUAAAUCCUGUUGUUUAGAACAAAUGGGGUACCAUGUUCAGGCCUGAUAGCAGAGACUGCUUGCAAAGUUUGGUUUUGUGGGACUUUGAUGAGGGUUUUCUGAGACUCCUGUUACACAUGUAAAAAGCAAAGCCACCUAUAUCUUAUUAAUAGUUGUGAAAACUUCAUUUUGUGAGGAUGGAUUUGAGAACCUCUGUGCUGAGAAGGGAGGGUGGGAUGGCAUUUCUUCCCUUGAUACAAAUUCAAAAUCUGUUACUGCUAAUAACAUCUGUGUGUAACUGUGGAGCUGCUAAAGAUGAAAUGAAAGGCAACUUAAGUAUUUUUUCCUUCCUGACUCCAACACCUAUACAAUCCCUUUUGUCUAUCCAUUCUGUGUCUGUGUGUUAAAUUUGUGUAUGCUCCAUAGCAGCUAACUUAUUUUUAAAUGCUGGACAGACAAAAGAAAUUUCUGUUUUCCCUUAUAGAAUCCCUUCUUGAAUCCAUUGAUAAAUUAACUGUGUGAAAACAUAAUCUUAUCCUUAAUUUUUAAUUCUUUUGACAAAAGCUUGAGUAACAUACUAUUUAUGUGUCUAUGAGUAAUGAAGACAAAAGCAAUUUAAUAGUACCUUAUUUAGUGUGUAUGUUACUUAUAUCUCCACAGUCAUCAACUAAAAUGGAGGUGAUGUUCAAGCUGCUGGUGAAAGUAAAGGUAGUUGUAUCACUGUAGUUAAUCAAUGGAUGCUUUGAAAAUUAAAGUCCUAAGGAAGAGUAGAGAAAAGGAAGGAAAAUACUAAACAACCUUGUGUUUGGACUGGGUAUUUCCUGAAAGAUCUCAGCCCAGUGGUAGGAGGUAUACUGAGCAGGUGGGCUGGCAGAGAUGGACAGACAGCUGGUUUUGUCUGGCCUGCAGGUGUUUAACUUGGCUGCCUGCAGGUUAGCUGUGAGAUGCCAGAUUUUCUGAGGAAAUCACCUUGUUUAAGAAGUGACUCUUGUUCAUUCCCAUAGUGAGGUCAGUAAAUGAGGCUGUGGCUGUUUUCACUUCCUCUCUGCUCAUCUCUCUGACACAGUCCAAAAACCCCAAUCCCCUGCUGUCAGAUUUAGAUGGGAGAGAAAACAGGCUUUGCAGGUAUGGUACAGUGAGUUUGCCUUUUCUUGUAUUAGAAACAAAAGACAUAACAAAACCAGAUAUUGCUGUGAUGUUUAAUAUUGAAACUACUGUUAAUGUUAUGUCAUUCUUUUGAGAUUUUUUUGUUGUUGUUGUUGUUUGAUUUUGAUAGACUGACAAACAUUAGCUGAGCUCUGUGUGCUUUUAUUUGAAAUAAUGUUUUUCAGUAGUUCCCAGAUGAGCAAGUACUUGAUUGUAAGUAUUUUGGGAUUCACUGCUGUGAAAGUUUUGGGGUCAAUCCAAAAGUAAAACUGCAGAAAUAGCUGUAUAACAUCAGCAAAGGCAGUUUGCUCCUUUCCAAGUUGUAGUAAGCCAUAAAGUAAAUGUAAUGCACUGGUAAUAGAUGUGAACUGAGAAUCUUCAUGAAUGGUGUCAGAUACACAUGAUUAAUGUGCUGUCUGCUAGAACAGAGUGUCAAAUACAGACUUAUAUAAGUAGGUUAAAUAAGUCUGCCCUGAGCAUAAUGUUGUCAUCAGUGCACUUUUCCUCUUGUGCUAAGUGUGAUUGCAGCCUGACUGAUCUGGGAGUGCUGUUAAAGGCAAAGUUCUCCCGUUGCAUUUUUGGUUUGUGACCUGACUGCCCUAUCAAGCAAUCAUUUAAUUCCUCUUGCAACUUUUAUGUUUCCUGCAUGGAAUCAGAUCUGUAAGAGUCCAGGCAACCUCUCUUAAAAUCAGACAUAAAUUUCUGACGUUGUAAAAGGAGAGUAGUUGAAUGUUGAUCUUUGUUAUCUUUAAUCAAGAAAUGUAAAUAUAUGCAGAGUACAAUAUUUUGUUCUUGCUCCACAAAAAAAGCUGCAUUUCACUCCUUUUAACAUAUAAACCCUCAAAAUGCUAUGAAAAAGCACCAAUACUGUUCUUUAUGAAUGCAGGCUGUGUAGUCAGCCUCCCAAACAUGGCACUGAAAAUGGAAUUCCCACUGUCAUACCUGGCUCUGCAGAUUUACCCCACUGAAGUUCCUCAGAAGACCAGCAUGCUGGAAAAUGCACAGUUCUGGGAGAAGGUAAGGAGAACCAGCUUCUCACCACAGUCCAGCACCCCAGAGAAGUUUGCAAAAGUCAAUCACAGCUGGAGCCUCUACUUCUAACCUGAGUUUGAAGGAAAAAUGGGAUCAUAAAAGAGAAAGUUAACUACAGAGCAGUGAUUGGGCUCCUUGCACAGAAAUGUCAAGCACACCUGAAGCAAAUGACUCUGUUCCCAAGGAGAAGACGUAACACAUUGUGUUAAAGGAACCACUCUCAUCUGGUAAUAUUAAAAAUGUUCUGAACUGCUCUCCAGUCGCCCAAGAAGUCAGAUGAAGUUGUAAAAUCCCUUUCAACAACUUGGUGUGAUUUUAACCUGUCUUCAAGUCUGAGCUUGGAAAUUCUUCCUUUGAAGAGAGUUCCUUUGAACAACUAAGGACUGCCAGCAUUACCAUGGAAACCCCCAAAAAUAAAGACUUUCCCAGCCUUAUGAGAGUACACCUGCAAGAGCAAGAACUGCCUAUCAAAAGUGACUUCUUCAUUAUGGGUGUCACCUAAGGACAUUCUGUACGGACUGGAGCUUCCUGUUGUACAUAUGAAAAAUUUUCCCAAAGAAGUCUGAUGUUUGUAAGAAGAGAUCAUUCCAAAAGUGCACAGGAUCUUGGGGUCAGGAAUAGCACUUCAGAUUGAAGAAAUUGUUGGAACCAACGCAUUCUAAUCUGCUCGAAAAGGACCCACGUUUGUUUCAGGAGUGAUUUUACUUGGACAUCAGUGAUUAACAGAAACUCCAGAUCACUUCAGAAAAAUGCAGUCUCACAAGGAAGAACCUGCAACAUCUCAGAGAUCACAGUCUUAAAAAGGAUCCAAACCCAGUGAGCAACUGCAUCUUCCAUAAGUGAAACCUGUCCAUCUUCUAAAAUCGUCUCAUGGGGAGGAGAUGUCCACAGUAACAGUAAACUAUUGUAACAGCAACCCAGGAAAAGCUAUGGCUAAGGGAGCAUUAGAGCUCUGACAAGACAUAUGAAAUGCAGAUCCAGGGAACACAGAUCUGGGGCAACUCUUCAAGACACAUUUUGAAAGGAUGUCCAUGGCAUGGAGGUGGUUGGACUUCACAUCCAGAGAGAGCAGGAGGAGGCCUCACCAAGGAGGUGACAGUACCUGCAAAGCCCUGGAGCUAAAGGAUGCUGGCUGUAGCUGUGCCCUGCAGCUCUCCCAGCCCCAUCCCUGCACGUCCUGCACGGAUCCUGCCCCACCGGGAUCCCGCACAGGAAGGGUGGGGCAGGUUCCUCACCUCCUGUCUGCGGCAGGAGAUAGCACAUCCUGAACACUGCCCCUUUUCCUCCU